GACUUCUCUCUGCUGUGGCCUAGUCUGGAAGACCAGCCCGAACUUACUGUCUUCUGCCCUAGGGCUCUCUUUUUUUUUCUAGGUGGAACUGAGUUUUGAGAGGAUAUUUUAUGCCUUUGCCAUCUGGGACCCUCCCAGCCCCACCUUCUAAGGCCUGGGAAGGGAGGAUGCCCUGGGCUCUUGUCCAACUUUUAGCUUUCCUGGCUUCUGACAUAAACUUGAAUGCAGACCUCUCCCCCAAGCCCACGACGUUUCUUCCUUCAGUUGCUGAAACAACCCUCCACAAGGCUGGAACCUAUGUUUGUCUUCUUGAGAAAUUUUUCCCCGAUGUGAUUUAUGUACAUUGGAAAGAAAAGAAUGGCAAUAGGAUUCUGGAAUCCCAGCAGGGAGAAACCAUGAAGACUGCUGGCACGUACAUGAAAUUGAGCUGGCUGACUGUGAGCGGAAAUUCCCUGGAUAAAGAACACCAGUGCAUCGUCAAACACGAGAACAAUAAAGGAGGUGUCGAUCAAGAGAUUCUCUUUCCUGCCAUAAAAGAAGCUGUUAUGGCUACUGAUCCAACAGAAGCCCCUGUAACAGCUUCUACUAUCUAUUCUACAAAAGCUUAUAUGAAAAAUGAAACAGAGCAGGCACUGCUAAGCAGGCGACUUUUCCGGGAGGCACUGCGGCUGCAGCUCACCAGCACCUCCGCGUACUACACCUACCUCCUCCUGCUCCUCAAGAGUGCGGCCUACUCUGCCGUCAUCACCCUCUGUGUGUUCAGAAGAGCAGCUGUGUGUGGCACUGGGAACAGUGUGUCAUAGACAGAGGCACAAAGAGGUGGUCUCCUCACCAUUCCUUGUUCCUAAAAACAUCUGCUGAGGAUCUAUCUGGGCGUUCAGUCUGCAUUUGGGCUCUUUCAGUUUUCCUGUGUGCUAUUAUUCUCUCA